UGCCUACGGGGGGCAGCAGUAGGGAAUUUUGGACAAUGGGGGCAACCCUGAUCCAGCCAUCCCGCGUGUGCGAUGAAGGCCUUCGGGUUGUAAAGCACUUUUGGCAGGGAAGAAACGGCGCUGACUAAUACUUGGCGCAACUGACGGUACCUGCAGAAUAAGCACCGGCUAACUACGUGCCAGCAGCCGCGGUAAUACGUAGGGUGCAAGCGUUAAUCGGAAUUACUGGGCGUAAAGCGUGCGCAGGCGGUUCGGAAAGAAAGAUGUGAAAUCCCAGAGCUUAACGUUGGAAUGGCAUUUUUAACUACCGGGCUAGAGUAUGUCAGAGGGGGGUAGAAUUCCACGUGUAGCAGUGAAAUGCGUAGAGAUGUGGAGGAAUACCGAUGGCGAAGGCAGCCCCCUGGGAUAAUACUGACGCUCAUGCACGAAAGCGUGGGGAGCAAACAGGAUUAGAUAACCCAGUAGUCCCG
rnacentral:rRNA from 1 species